UACCAAAUCGAUCGGUCAUGUUACGCUCUCCCAAUCUUCUUCCUUGCCACACGCCCAUAUUUUUCCUAUGGCAUAUUCGUUUUUUAGCAGCUAAUCUGUUUCUUUGCAUUUCCCCUUCAUGUAUAUAGCGUACUCAUGCCCUAUGAACUCAUCGCUCGGACCACAAUAAGUAUAGCUCAAUUCACCAGCGAAGCAAGAUGUGGUGAGGUACAGAAAUGAGUUGCAGAUUUCUAUGCACAAGAGCAAGGUCAAGCUCCAGGUUCGGUCGUGGAACAUCUGAAUGAGAUUUCUAUUCAUCUGUCCAAAUAUACUUCAAUGAUUCCAUGAGUGUUGAUUCAGGUGGUA
rnacentral:lncRNA from 1 species